GACGAACGCUGGCGGCGUGCCUAAUACAUGCAAGUAGAACGCUUAAGAGAGGAGCUUGCUCUUCUUGGAUGAGUUGCGAACGGGUGAGUAACGCGUAGGUAACCUGCCUUGUAGCGGGGGAUAACUAUUGGAAACGAUAGCUAAUACCGCAUAACAAUGGAUGACACAUGUCAUUUAUUUGAAAGGGGCAAUUGCUCCACUACAAGAUGGACCUGCGUUGUAUUAGCUAGUAGGUGAGGUAACGGCUCACCUAGGCGACGAUACAUAGCCGACCUGAGAGGGUGAUCGGCCACACUGGGACUGAGACACGGCCCAGACUCCUACGGGAGGCAGCAGUAGGGAAUCUUCGGCAAUGGGGGCAACCCUGACCGAGCAACGCCGCGUGAGUGAAGAAGGUUUUCGGAUCGUAAAGCUCGGUUGUAAGUCAAGAACGAGUGUGAGAGUGGAAAGUUCACACUGUGACGGUAGCUUACCAGAAAGGGACGGCUAACUACGUG
rnacentral:rRNA from 1 species